rnacentral:rRNA from 1 species
GACGAACGCUGGCGGCGUGCCUAACACAUGCAAGUCGAACGGAAAGGCCCUGCUUUUGUGGGGUGCUCGAGUGGGGAACGGGUGAGUGACACGUGUGUAACCUGCCCUUGUCUUUGGGAUAACUUCAGGAAACAGGGUCUAAUAUAGCAUAGGAGAUUCUGCUCCAUGGUGGGGGUUGGAAAGAGUCGGCUGUUGGGUCUGGACUCGCGGCUUAUGAGCUUGUUGGUGGGGUAGUGGCUUACCAAGGCUUUGACGGAUAGCCGGCCUGAGAGGUUGACCGGGGCCAUUGGUACUGCGAUACGGCCCAGUAUGCAACGUGCGGCAGCAGUGGGGAACAUUGCACAGUAGGCGGACGCCUGAUGCAGCAACCUCGCGUGCGGAAUGAUGGCCUUCGGGUUGUGAACCUCUUUCGCCUGUGCCGAGGCGUGAGUGACGGUAAUGGGUAAGGAAGCACCGGCUAACUACGUG